AUUGAACGCUGGCGGAAUGCUUUACACAUGCAAGUCGAACGGCAGCACGAGAGCUUGCUCUUGGUGGCGAGUGGCGAACGGGUGAGUAAUAUAUCGGAACGUAUCCAAUAAUGGGGGAUAACUAAUCGAAAGGUUAGCUAAUACCGCAUACGCCCUACGGGGAAAGCAGGGGAUCUUCGGACCUUGCGUUAAUGGAGCGGCUGAUAUCUGAUUAGCUAGUAGGUGAGGUAAAGGCUCACCUAGGCUUCGAUCAGUAGCUGGUCUGAGAGGACGACCAGCCACACUGGAACUGAGACACGGUCCAGACUCCUACGGGAGGCAGCAGUGGGGAAUUUUGGACAAUGGGCGCAAGCCUGAUCCAGCCAUUCCGCGUGAGUGAAGAAGGCC
rnacentral:rRNA from 1 species